rnacentral:rRNA from 1 species
UCCGGUUGAUCCCGCCGGACCCCACUGCUAUCGGGAUAGGACUAAGACAUGCUAGUUGAGCGCUUCCAGCCAACACGGGAGCGCAGCGCACAGCUCAGUAACACGUGGCUAAUCUGCCCUUGGGACCGGAACACCCCCGGGAAACUGGGGCUAAUUCUCGAUAGGUGAAGAACUCUGGAAUGAGUCUUUGCCAAAAAGACGUUUACGUUAUGCUCGUAGGCGUCGCCCAAGGAUGAGGCCGCGACCGAUCAGGUUGUUGGUGAGGUAAUGGCUCACCAAGCCUUUUACCGGUGCGGGCCGUGAGAGCGGGAGCCCGGAGAUGGGCACUGAGACAAGGGCCCAGGCCCUACGGGGCGCAGCAGUCGCGAAAACUUUGCAAUACACGAAAGUGUGACAGGGCUAUCCCGAGUGCCAUCCGCUGAGGAAGGCUUUUACCCAGUCUAGAACGCUGGGGGAAUAAGGAGAGGGCAAGUCUGGUGUCAGCCGCCGCGGUAAUACCAGCUCUCCGAGUGGUGUGGAUGUUUAUUGGGCCUAAAGCAUCCGUAGCUGGCUGAGUUAGUCCCUUGUUAAAUCCACCGAAUUAAUCGUUGGAUUGCGGGGGAUACUGCUCGGCUAGGGGACGAGAGAGGCAGACGGUAUUUCCGGGGUAGGGGUGAAAUCCUAUAAUCCCGGGAAGACCACCAGUGGCGAAGGCUGUCUGCUAGAACGCGCCCGACGGUGAGGGAUGAAAGCUGGGGGAGCGAACCGGAUUAGAUACCCGGGUAGUCCCAGCUGUAGACGAUGCAGGCUAGUGUUUGGACGGCCACGUGCCGUUCUAGUGCCGCAGGGAAGCUGUUAAGCCUGCCGCCUGGGAGUACGAUCGCAGAUUGAAACUUAAAGGAAU